GUGGGGAAUAUUGGACAAUGGGCGAAAGCCUGAUCCAGCCAUGCCGCGUGAGUGAUGAAGGCCCUAGGGUUGUAAAGCUCUUUCACCGGGGAAGAUAAUGACGGUACCCGGAGAAGAAGCCCCGGCUAACUUCGUGCCAGCAGCCGCGGUAAUACGAAGGGGGCUAGCGUUGUUCGGAAUUACUGGGCGUAAAGCGCACGUAGGCGGACUAUUAAGUCAGGGGUGAAAUCCCGGGGCUCAACCCCGGAACUGCCUUUGAUACUGGUAGUCUAGAGUUCGAGAGAGGUGAGUGGAAUUCCGAGUGUAGAGGUGAAAUUCGUAGAUAUUCGGAGGAACACCAGUGGCGAAGGCGGCUCACUGGCUCGAUACUGACGCUGAGGUGCGAAAGCGUGGGGAGCAAACAGGAUUAGAAACCCCAGUAGUCC
rnacentral:rRNA from 1 species